rnacentral:tRNA from 1 species
CAAAAAUUAGUUAAAAAAUAAUAUUAGCUUGUCAGGCUAGAGUUAUCCUGUAAUGGUAUUUUUGA